ACGAACGCUGGCGGCGUGCUUAACACCUGCAAGUCGCACGGAAAGGCCCUGCUUUUGUGGGGUGCUCGAGUGGCGAACGGGUGAGUAACACGUGAGUAACCUGCCCUUGACUUUGGGAUAACUUCAGGAAACUGGGGCUAAUACCGGAUAGGAGCUCCUGCUGCAUGGUGGGGGUUGGAAAGUUUCGGCGGUUGGGGAUGGACUCGCGGCUUAUCAGCUUGUUGGUGGGGUAGUGGCUUACCAAGGCUUUGACGGGUAGCCGGCCUGAGAGGGUGACCGGCCACAUUGGGACUGAGAUACGGCCCAGACUCCUACGGGAGGCAGCAGUGGGGAAUAUUGCACAAUGGGCGGAAGCCUGAUGCAGCAACGCCGCGUGCGGGAUGACGGCCUUCGGGUGGUAAACCGCUUUCGCCUGUGACGAAGCGUGAGUGACGGGAAUGGGUAAAGAAGCACCGGCUAACUACGU
rnacentral:rRNA from 1 species